GAGGGUACAGCUCAAGUGGUAGAGCACAUGCUUAGCACGCACAAGGUCCUGGGUUCAAUCCCCAGUACCUCCU
rnacentral:tRNA from 1 species